GCUUUUUAAGAACUCGACGGGCCAACAAGAGCCCAGUGCAAUAAGCUGGUCAGAGUAAAUGGGUGAGAAAUAUAUACAAAAACCUUGAAGGAGGAUAGCUAAGAAGAUUGACUUUCUCAGAAAAUACCUGCAGCAUAGUUUGUAAGGCCUACUUCAAGACCAUAGCGUGGCAGCUCAUGUGAAUAUGCUGCAGCAAGGACAAUAUCGCCAGCAAUGCUAGCAGAUGUUAUUUGGGCGAUGAUGUCCUUGUUGGUCUAAUAACAUAGUCAAGGUUUAUACACAUUGAAAAUUGAAAAAACAUAACUGGCAAAAAAACUUCAGCUAUUCACAUGAUAAGUCCAAGUAUUUCUAACUAGAAGAAUUAUUAAAUUAUAAGCACGUAAAACCAUCUCUCAAUGACGUAAAAGU
rnacentral:lncRNA from 1 species